CCUGGUGCUCAGAUGGUCAAGUGUCUGCCUACAAUGCAGGAGACCCAGGUUCAAUUCCUGGGUCAGGA
rnacentral:tRNA from 1 species